rnacentral:lncRNA from 1 species
GGCCUGAUUUCAGAUGUAGAGCAGUGGGAGUGGAUGCGAGGGGGUGAGGAGGGCAGGUCAAAAACUGGAUGGAGUUGGAGAAACAGAGCAGUGGAGUGGGAUCAGGAGGCAAGAUUUAGUGCCAGUCCUAGUAACAAGUGUAGGAGACACAGACAUCUUAGCACAGAAGAUAUUGACUGGGACAGAAGCAGUGUGGACAGAUGGACAUGGGGCAGCAGCGACAGCUGGGAAGACACACGAACACAAAGGUCAAUGCCAGGCUCCAGGACAGGCGCUGACAGCAGAGACAGCCCAGGUGGUGUCUGGAGAUGUGCAGGAACCAGACGCUCAAGUUCAAGACACUUUUCAAGUCCUGAGUGGUGGACAAGCAGACAGACGUACAGCUGUCAGAGUGUCAUCAACGCACAGGGCAGCAGAUGCCACAGCCCACGCUCAUGCAGCCCUUGUAGCAGCACCAGCAUGUCCGAGCUCAGCUGGGAGUGGAGCAGGAGUAGUACCUGCUCAGGAGUCACUGUUGAUGGGUUGACAGUUAGCCCACCCUGGAUGUCCUCAAGGGCAGAAGAGUCCCUUCAAGAGGCAAAAAAGCACAGAAGCCCCCUGUCCACUUCAUCUGCGCUUUCUACUAACACACUUUCUUACUCCUCUCCCUGUAGAUCUGCCCCUGUUUCAACAGCUCCAGGCCUCAACAUGCACCAUUGUGAUACAAGUUCCCCACGACAAAAGGAAACAGAUACACAGUCCGACCAUAGACAAUCUGCUCCCAUCACCACAAGUCGCUCAGGCACAACUCUUCCAGCAUUGUCCCUCAGUAAGACUCAACCACAGAAACCAGCUAGGAUGCUGCUUCUGCCCCUGAUAGGAAAACGACCUGCAAUCCAGAGAAAAGCGAAGAGCAAAAAGGGGCAGCUGGAGAAGAGGCAGGAGAAUGACAGAGAGGAGGAGGAAGUUAAGGGAUGUGGAGUGGAUCCUGGAGCAGCCAGUGACAGUCAGAAAUGUCCUCUGGACAUGGUUGAGUCAAACCCCAGCAGUAUGCCAAAUCCCUGCCUGUCACAGAUUAGGACUGAUGACAAACAGACAGGUGGGGAGACAGCUCCGCCAAUCAGCUUUACUGCUGAGGAGAUGGACAAAUAUCGUCUCCUGCAAGAGCAGGCGAGGGAGCACAUGCAGAAAGUCCUGGAAAAUACACAAGAAAAUUCAGACACGCACACACAGACAAACUAUACACACACAGACAGCAGCGGGACUUCAGGGGAACAAUACGCACCUGCACCCUUUCAAAACCCAGCGCUGCCUCAAACCCAGUUAAUUCAUACAGAUGCCAUGCAACGACAAGUACAGCACUCACUCCAGCUCAGUCUCUCUCUUCCACAUAUGACCCAGCAAGAGAACUUUCCUCAGCCUAUGGCUGUCAGAGUCCCCAGCCUCACCCCUCUUCCACCAUCCCCCCCUCUCUCCAAUCUCCAUCAUAUUAUUUUACAACAUGCAGCUCUCACUAUGCCCCCCCACUCCUCCACAUCCAGCCCAUCCCCCUCACCUGGCAUCCAUCCACACCCAGCUCCACUUCCUCCCCCCCUGCCUCAUCGCCACCCUACCCUCCCUCACCAUAUUCCUCUCUCCCCCUUCUCCAUCUCCUCCCUGUUUCCCUCCAUCCUGCUGUCCCAUCAUCCCAUCCCUCUCCUUCCCCAGUCCCCUGCUUUCCACACGGCCCCACUCACCCCGCUCUCCCCCGUAGCCUUGCAACCCUUGAACCCACAUCCUUUCAUGGACAGAGCAUGGCCAGUAAAGUUCCAACAGAAGGCAUUAUGAUUUUCACAGAGCAGCUGCCAUGUUUAUUAAUCUUCCCUGGCAACACUGGCCAGUGAGUUAAGGGGAAGGAUUUUUUUAGUUUGAACAAACUGCAGCCUGCUAUUUGCAAUGAGGAUGUGUCAGUGCUUUGACUAGCAUCAACUCUUAUUCACAUAUGCCUCCAUACACAGACACACUAACUUGUGCAUACACACAAGCAGCCAAAUUAUUGACUGUUUUCAAAUAAAAAUUUGUUACUCCAUUUAGCCUCUGCUGUGUUGCAGAUGGUGAAAAAAACAGACUUUGAUCCUUUUUCCAUCAUUCUUCAUUCAGGCCCAGAAUAAAGAGCUAGGUGCACCUGUUAUUCAAAGACAAGGU